rnacentral:rRNA from 1 species
UGAGGAAUAUUGGUCAAUGGACGCAAGUCUGAACCAGCCAUGCCGCGUGCAGGAUGACGGCCCUAUGGGUUGUAAACUGCUUUUAUUAAGGAAUAAACCCCCGAACGUGUUCGGGGCUGAACGUACU